rnacentral:lncRNA from 1 species
GAGAGGGGAUCCUCGUAUUUAUAAGGAAAAGAGAGGGGGGAACUCGAGGCAUCAUCAUUAGGUCUAUUCGGGCCUAGAUGGGCCUCGAAACUCUCCCCAAAAAUCCAGCGGACCCUCGCGACGUUUCAACUUCUCGGUGCAUUUAAAAGAGAAAAAGGGGGGAUUCGAGGUGUCGUCAUUAAGCCUAAACGGGCCUAAAUGGGCCUCGAAACUCUCCCAGAUAUCCAGCGGACCCUCGCGACGG